ensembl:ncRNA F58G11.11 ncRNA
UAUAUGUGGAUGUGUAUUAAAAUAGGAAUGAACAAAGAGAAAGAGUCAUAAAUUCAAUCAUUCGAACAUGGAUAAUUGCACCCGAUGGACUGUCUCUCGAAAAGAGAGCAAUUAUAUCCAUUGAAUUCACAACCUGACA